UACGUAGGGUCCGAGCGUUGUCCGGAAUUACUGGGCGUAAAGUGUGCGCAGGCGGCGUUGCAAGUCGAGUGUGAAAGCCCCGGGCUUAACUUGGGAAUUGCGCUCGAAACUACGAUGCUGGAGUGUGGCAGAGGAAGGUGAAAUUCCACGUGUAGCGGUGAAAUGCGUAGAGAUGUGGAGGAACGCCGAUGGCGAAGGCAGCCCCCUGGGCUAACACUGACGCUCAUGCACGAAAGCGUGGGGAGCAAACAGG
rnacentral:rRNA from 1 species